UACGAAGGGAGCGAGCGUUGUUCGGAAUCACUGGGUUUAAAGGGUGCGUAGGCGGGCAGGUAAGUCAGUGGUGAAAUCUUCGAGCUUAACUCGGAAACUGCCGUUGAUACUAUCUGUCUUGAAUGUUGUGGAGGUGAGCGGAAUAUGUCAUGUAGCGGUGAAAUGCUUAGAUAUGACAUAGAACACCCAUUGCGAAGGCAGCUCACUACGCAACAAUUGACGCUGAGGCACGAAAGCGUGGGGAUCAAACAGG
rnacentral:rRNA from 1 species